rnacentral:rRNA from 1 species
UACGUAGGGUGCGAGCGUUGCCCCGGAUUUAUUGGGCGUAAAGGGCGCGCAGGCGGCCCGGCGCGUCCGCGGUGAAAGCUCCCGGCUCAACUGGGAGAGGUCCGCGGAAACGGUCGGGCUGGAGCAAGGUAGGGGUCGUGGAAUUCCCGGUGUAGUGGUGGAAUGCGUAGAGAUCGGGAGGAACACCAGUGGCGAAGGCGGCGACCUGGACCUGUGCUGACGCUGAGGCGCGAAAGCGUGGGGAGCGAUCCGGAUUAGAAACCCCGUGU